ACUCGCUCUCUCGCUCUUUGCAUAGUAACAUCACUUUUGCUUGUAUCGGAAAACAAAAGUGGCGCCUUGGGCGGUGCUGCACGGAAGAAAGAACACGAAAGCGAAAAGCAAAGCAGACUAGAUGCGCGCGUUGCCAAAAGGUGUUUAGUGUGUGUGUAUGUGUGCUUUGUUGGCGACUUUUGAGCAGAAGACAACCAGGCGUUCGUUGUCGCCACGGAAAUUGAUCGAUCUUAGUCUUGAUCGGCGCCAACAAAAGCGACACGAUUGGCAGGAUCAAUGAAAGUGCAACGGUUUGGAUCACUUUCAGUGCAGCCUUUUUAAACAUUUCCUAGCAUUCGCUGCCAAACCGACGGUGUACCAGAAAGGACACGCAUGUCAUCGAUUUGUUUAGUCGCUUAAUUAAGGUGCAAGCAUAAUCUACAGCGCUGCGUUAGUGUGAAUUAUUGCAGGUAUCAGUAUCGCAAUUUCCAAACGAUGCCAUCUUUCUUACCAAAUGGUUCAUCUAAGCUUUCAACAGACCGUAAAUGAAACGCUCCUCCCACAACCUUUAUUCCGCUCCAUGCAGGCGAACAGAUUACGUUUAUGUUUUUUUCCCCGGCGGGCAAUUCAAGGGUUGACGAUCCAUGGCCACGAUCUGCUACUGGCGAUGGAGCUCGAGGGAUUCCACCCGAACAACCGACCGGGUGACUGUACCAACUGCUGCUUCAUGGCAAACUGACCACCGUGUCUCCUGUGACCGAGCAGAAAUGGAACACCGGUUGGUUGGUGUAUGUGUGCGGAGCGGUCGUAGAUCAUUGAGCAAACUGAAGAUCGUUCAUUCGACUCAAACAGGUCCGGAUUCGGAGUGGACCUAUCCAUCGUGGCGAGGAAAGAAGUUUUGAAAUGGUUGGCAAUCUGCAGAAAAGGGAGAUAAAGAGAGAUAGAGAGAGAGAGAGAGAGAGUGUUCGUGCAAGGGCAGCAGUGAAGAUGCCAGGGAGAAAAGGGUUUAUUGCCUCCCUGACCGUUUGAAACUAUUUUUAGUUCGUCAUCGGCUUGAGACACGAUUGCAGCGUGUUUAUUUUUGGUUGCCGAUGAGAUGCGCGCGGCAUGUGCACAGUAAAGGAAAAGCAGUUUCAGAUGUUUUUCUUUCUUUCUUUUUGUUUGUUAAACUGACCGGACCAGAUUAAAGCGCCCAACGGCUGUGUAAACGUGGCUGCGUAUGAGUGAAGGGGAUGUUUUUUUACUUCGUUUAAAAAUUGAGUCAAAAUGAAGAAAUAGCACGUGCAAUCAGCUGAUCGCUGUUCUGUUGCAACAGAGUCUCGAUUGUUUGAGUGAAUUAGUUUUUAAAUAUUUCUGUUGGAAGCGGUAAUCUAAGAACGAUCAUGUCCGGAGGUCAGUGCAAUAAUAAAAACUCAUGAGAGGCUCUAUCUCCUGCCGGUUUUCCCAAUCAUCUCAGGAUGUUUGCUACCUAUUUGCUACUUAUUUUUAAAUCGGCCCUACAUAGCAUUAGGAUCGGCCCAUUAUUUGCGAAUUAUGCAAACAUCCUUAGGGAACAACUAAAAAAUAUGAGGAACCAUGAGGAACACCUAAAAAAUCUUGUAUGUGUAGGGUUUAUUAACCUAAUUAAUGAUUGAACGAGAAGUCACAAAUAGUAAAGCUUCAUAAGUGAUCAGUUAAAUAAAGACAAAAUAAUUAACUUA